UGUGUGUGUGUGUGUGUGUGUGAGGGUGCGUGUGUGGCUCCCCCAUACUGGGGACCUGCUACAGAUACGCAAGUCGUAAAAUGGGGACAUAAAAAACAUUGGGGACUUGAUUUAAGUCCCCAAACUUUUUUUUCGUUGAAAACGAAAAAUUGACAUGUCUAAAUCCUAAAAAUAUCAAAAAAAUAACGUGUCCCAGUUACGGGGUUUUAUCGGACACAUGAUUACACAGAUAUCGUGUUGAUUGAAGUUGCCAUCUUCACUUACACAUCUCUGACGUUACACACUUCUAGAUUACGCAUGCGCGUGUGUAAAAAAAAGCGGAAGUCCAAUUGUUUUGAAGCGGGAUACAAUAAACAUGUGGAAAAGAAGACACAGAGGAAAACCUGGGCACAGAAUCCUAGAUUCUUUUGAUAAGGAUGAUUUUUAUGCUGGAAAACGAAUGUUCAAGGCAACCAGAAGCUUGAGUCCAUCCUGAACAUAGAGACAACACAGAUAUUAGCAAAGCUGUAAAUAUUGCUAGAGGAUUAGUUAAUGCAACUCAGCAAGGACUAGUGAUGGAUAUGUUCCAGGUUCCACAGCUAGGAGAAUGUCAGGAAGAAAAGCCUCAUCAUUAAAAGUGUUACAGGCACUAAAGGAAACUGAUGGCAUUGUUUUUGUGUGGGUGAUGAGAAUAAGAGUGAGGAGGAGAUUAGUUUGACAAUCAGGAUGUCCACACUGUCACUCCAGGGAAGAAGAAGUCAUUUCUGAUCCUAGAUCUACUGUGGAAGAUUCUACAUGCAAGUGACAAGAGAUACAAAAAAAUCCCAAGGACAUCAUGAGAAAUGAAUUUAAUCAACAGACAUUUUGGAAAAGAUUUUCUAAAAAAUUGUAAUAGGACCUUAGAGAAGUGUAAAACACCAAGGAAAUACAUUUGUAAUCUUGUUAAAAACAGAGAAAAUCUUGAUUAACAUUCUACUUUCAAUUGAUAUACUUUGAGAAAUAUGAAAAAAACUGUUUUAGAGCCACAGUAAUGGAGGACAUUGAAUUCUUUGCAGCAGUUUUAUCAUUAGGCCAUUCCAUUUUUUUUCUGUGUUUAGUGUCUGCAGAUGGAUUGGUUUUGAGGUCAAGCAAUUUAAGAACAAACACAAAAUAAAAUUGACAAAUACAAAUCUUUGACAAGCAAUUUACUCUUCUGGGAUCAGCAUCUCUCUUUUUUAAAAGUGAUGUGCCUAAGUUUUUUUUUUUUUGUUUCAUUAAACUAGUAGUAGUAGUUUAAUUUAGUUAUAAUAUGAGGAAAAUUCUUAAAUGAUGCUAAAGGAGUUCUAGAACUUUGCGUAAAAUGUUGUUUUUUCCCCUUUUGGUUUGUGAUUUUUCUUUUGGAACGAAGAAAUGUUUGAAAUAAAGGUUGGAUGGGAAACAAAGAAAAAACUUGGAAUGGCCUCAUAUAACCUACAUGGACUAAACUUGCAUAGAUGAAGAGUGCUUAAGAAGCUGUGCAUGAUGUAUGUAGGAAAUGAUUUUGAAGUAUUAAAUAUUCUAUGCAAAAGGAAA